GCCUAAAACUGGUUUAUCUGACUUGGUCUUGCAAGGUACCAAAUGUCACUCAAGUGGAAAAUGUGGUGUGUGGUUGGUCGGACAUUUGUGGUUAUACCAGAUUUUUGUAUGAGAAGCGGUUGCCCCGAAGCCAAGUCAACACCGCUUGUUUUGAGCCUCCACAGUUGGCAGGACGUUAUGUUGGAUCGAGGCAAGAAUAGUUCAAUUUACCAUGUGGCUUGUGCAAAUGUCCCUAAGUACUUGACAAAAUUUUGCACGGUCAUUUUCAGAAUGAUUCUAAAUCUGGACUCGAGUCUAAAUCUUGUAAAGGCAAAGGAACACUGACCCUCUCGUGCGCCUGCGUUAAAAAUCUGAUGCCGCUCCGCUCGGUUGUCCUGCCGGAGGUGCAGUUCUGUUUCAGCUGAAUUUCUCAAUUGGCAAGAAAGGGCUGAAGGGUAGAGUUACCAGUGAUCGCGAGUCAGCGACUGUGAAAAGGUGGAAAACAAACACGGUCUCCUGGAGGAUUCUUCUGCUUCUCACACAGGAGUUCGCCGGAACAUUUACCGUGAAAAAAACCCAGAGCUGUCAAAAUCUUUUUCUGGUCUUGAACCUCAGCAUUCUUUGUGUGUGUGUGUGUGUGCUUUGGAUUCAAGCAACAAAAACAAGCAGAAAGUUUACGAUGCCAUGAGGUUCUGUGUUUCAGUGGCUCUACGGUCAGGGUGUCCACCUCCAUCCACCACCGCAUCACAUGAAGAUUCAAAUCCACGGUCACGUCAAAUCUUAGGGGCUGAGAAACAGAGCUCACUGCCUGCUGUUCUGCGUCUCUCUGCGUCAUUUUAUUGUCUCUUUGAGAAGAGCAGGUUUUUUUUUUUUGGAAUGUUUCUUUCCUCGCAAAAAAAAGUUCUUAGAACUUAGAACUCGAUUGCUUUCGGUCCCCAGCAGUGAUUGUGACAUCAGCAUUAGAAUGUUCAGUUGGGAAUAUUCUAGUAGCGUAUUUGUGAUCUUAUGCCUACCUUAUGAAGGGUUAAAACCCUACCGUGCUCUAAUCAGCGUUGUGAGGCCCCUCGGCCACCACUAGGUUGAUGGCGCAGGGGUAGCGCCCCCUAGGGGUGGGCACCAGAGGGACUGUGCGGAGGAGACCGGGCACCAGGGCAGCGCUUGCCACUCCCUUCUCCUUCGCCCAGGUUUUGUUUUGUUUUGUUUUGUUUUGGUUUCUAAAGUGGACGGUGUGCCUUUAAAACCAGUGGGUAGUCAGGUGACUGAGGCUCAGUCCGCGCAGCUCUCCGUGAGAAACUGAAUGCGACUGAGCGAGAGAGGGAGAGAAGGCAGGCAGAGAGAGAGAGGAAGAGAGGAAAAGAGGAAGAGAAGACGGGGGAAAGAGAGAGAGAGAGAGGGAGAGAAAGCAGGCGGAGAGGGAGCGAGAGAGAGAGAGAGAGAGAGAGAGGGAGAGAAGACGGGGGAGAGAGAGAGAGAGAAAGAGAGAGGGAGAGGGGGAGAAGGCAGGGGAGAGAGAGAGGGAGAGGGAGAGGGAGAGGGGGAGAAGACAGGGAAGAGAGAGAGAGAAAGAGAGAGAGAGAGAGAGGGACAGGGGCUGGGUGGACAACAGCAACAGAAAGAGGAGCUGAGACGCGGGUUUUGGUAGCGAGACUCCAGCUGGAUGUCUGGCUGCGGUGUUCGCUGACCGGCAGAGUUGUUGUUGGAGAGGAGGGAGCUGCAGUUGCGUGAGGCUGCAAUACCAGCAGCACAGCCGGAGAAUUAAAUGCUGCGUCACACCGUGGGAGAGCUUGCGAGCGUGUACGCGCAUGUGUGGGUAUCCGUGUGUGUGUGUGCGUGUGUGUGUGCGCGAGUGUGUUUGUUUAUAAAGGGGGGUGUGUCCGUCUUUCUUUGAGAAUUUUUUACUUUUUUUUGAUGUCUUUAUCGAGCAGGGCGCUGCUCCCGAGAUGGGAAAACAUGAAGUGAAGUGGGCGAGGUGGGUGGGGAGGAAAGAUUUCGGAUUAGCAGCUACGUCAUUUUUUUUUUCCCCCCCCCCCACAUUGUUAGCAAAGCGGCAGCUCUCUCAUCAGGAGUCCAGCGCGCGGUGGCAUUCUUACCUGAACCGAAGACGCAGCUUCAAAAUCGGCCUUUCCCGCCCCCCCCCCCCCUUCCAGAUCUUUUCUUCCGUCUCAUUAGGUCCGUUUCCUCGGUCCUCUCUCCGCGUCCCCGUGCCGUUGUUUUGCCCCGUGCGGGAAAAAGAAAACGUUGGCGGAGCGCUAACAUGGACAGCGAAGACGCGACGUGCCUCGCUCUCCAGUCCGAGGCGUUGUGCGAGGCCGGGUCGACGGAGAAAAGGCUCUUACAAAACCGCGACAAACGAACAUCGGGGAGAUAUUAGCUGAGAGAAACGUAGGACAUAACUGGAUAGUGGAGCAUUCUAUUUAUGAGACAGAGGUAAUGAAAGGAGAAAUUAUAUUUUGGGCAGAGAAUAAUACCUAGACGUAGACGUGUGUACAUAACAGACGGAUAGGAAACGAAGCACGUAACUAAUCUGCGCACAUAUAAACAAAGUAUACAAGCACGUAAUCUUUGUGUUCGCUUUGUUUGAGUCCAUCCUCUCCCUUUCGGACGCAUUGUGGCCCUUCCGUGGUAAGUGAUAACAGUGCUUUUUCCUUUUAACGCAGGAGCUUGUGCCGUCGCUGGCCGUCUGCUAUCGGGGCAACUUUUAAAGAGCCAGACGAGGCGGCCGGCAGGUCACUGCUGCAGUGAGGUGCUGAUCGCGGACUUCGGUGGAAUCGGAGCGACUUCCUGCACCUGUCUGUCCCGGGGCGGGUGGAGGGGGCUGAGGGGAUUUUUUGCUACGUAAUGGAAACAGAACUGAAAUAGCGCGAGUGACGCAGUGUUUUUUUUUUGUUUUUUUUUGUUUGUUUUCUUCCUUCUUCGAGUGAAACAUGGCAGUGAGACUGACUCUGACCCUCUUCCUCUUUCUCUCUUUGACCGUACGGGGGAUCUGUAAAGGGUCUUCCCCAGGAGGUGUCACAAGGGGCCUAAAUGUCAGGGCGCUAGAUUGGGGGGGAAGGCUGGCUGUUUACCUCGCUCGCUUGGUGACACUCCUGGCGGAAUGCCAACUCCCAUGCAGCUGACUUUGAAGCAGCCGCAUUGCCCAAUAGAAUGUCAGAGCUCCUCCCCCAUUGGACUAGGGGGGAGGUGGUGAGGGCCCAAGAGACUGGCACUUUUACCUCCAGAACGAUGGCGCCUGAUUGGCCCGAGAGGUGUUGUUGUCGUGUUUGAUUGGCUGGAGCGGACAGUUUCACUGCGUGUCAAUGCAGAGACGAUUCUCAUUCAGGACAGCCUGUGACUUGCUGUGCCGUAGUGAUUUUGGUUGUUUGAAGACCCGAUUAUUCAGAUCUUCUUUUGAAACUGGAGGCAGUUAUAGACAGCGUAACAGUGUAGUAGUAUGAAAGCAGCUGUGAAAAUGAAAGGUAAAACUUUACCUGAAGUGAGUUUCGUAGUUUUCAUAAAUGCUACAUAACACACCGCUGCCUUUGUCACAAUCAUACAUAUCUUAUAACCAGCUUAUAGUAACUGUGAUACUAUGUCACUCGCAUCAUAUUGUUUAUCACUGAACGCUUCAUACUCUUAUGCCAGUUAUUAUAAGCUGGGCAUAAUGUUAAUGUGUACUUAUUAGAAAGACUGUAGCCAUAUCUAGCGCUUAUAAAGGCAUUAGGAAAUGUGUUCAUCUUCAGCCACUGGUACUACUGGUACUUGUAAUUAAAGUUGAAGCUCCUAUACAAUAUUAAAAUAAAGUUUCUGCUUCAUUAUGACACUUACAUGUAACAGUAUGUCUUGCAGCAUUGUUUCUUAUAAUAAUGCUUAGCGUUGACUCUUGUUUUUCAAGCCACAAUGGGCAAGAGACACUAACUAAAUGCAUACCAAAUAAAUGCUAAAUGAACCUGGUAUGACUGAAUAAAACCACUGACUCCUAUAAGAAGAAGAAGUAUUGAUAGAAGGUCUUGUGGUGGCAGGACUGUUUAUCAGCUGGGAUUAACAGGUCAGACUUUUUGGUUGAUAUGACUCUCUGCCUGUUGACGGUCUGUGGUGUCAAGUGUUAACCGAAGUUCUGUCUUUUUGUGCGUCACGGUUGGGAAGUUCUGUUUUUGGGUUUAAAAUUAGCUACAGGGCCUCAAAGCGCACCGGGGUGGUUUUGAACUGCUAGCGGUCAGUGGUUAGGAUAGGAAGGGCCCCCCCCCCCAAAAAACCCCCCAACCCCCCCCGAACCAAAAAGUAAAUUAAUAACGGCCAGGGAAAACACCGAGUGGCUUGCGUGCGCAGUGGAAUGUUCUCUGCCCCGGAGGCUGUGAUGUCAUCCACAGGGUGUGAUUGACGGCCGCUGCAGGAUUCCGCGCUGGGCUCGGCGUUUGCGGACCGAAGCAGAAGCCGACGGGCCUUGGCAGCAGACCCGGCGGGAGAGGCGUCCGCGUCCACGCCGCGCGGCGAAGGAGGCGGCGAGCGACCCCCCUGUUAAGUGCGCCCGGAGCUGUCACUCAAAUUCACUCUCCCACGGCGACGUGUAAGAAGACGUGUGAUUGGACGGCGAGUAGGCUGGUCUUCCCCAGGAAACUGGUUUCAGGUGGUGGCUUAGAGUGUCAUAUAUCAUUUAUCUAGCACCAUUUGAAAUCAGUGUUUCUGGGGCAGGAAGUACAACGCACAAGAAGCCACCUUAGUUCUUGGUCAAGAGGAAGCUCAACCAUCUUUUUUGGGGGGGGCGGGGUGUAUUGAGACUUAAUUUUGCCUGCAGCUCAGUAAUAUUCUGCAGCAAUAAUGAUGCCCUGAGGGCAGUUUGCUGGAACAGGUGAGAUGAGGCAGCAGAUCCUUUGCCUGACGGACCUGUGGAAGGUAGCCUUUGGGACAUUCCUACAGGCGCCACGCCACGCCCCGCCCUACCGCCUUUCCGUUUCUCCUCUCACCAAGGCUGACCGAUUUCUUCUGGUGUUCAGAGUCUGUUCCUGUUUCUAGCACCAUUUGAAAUCGGUUACAAUGUAGGAGGAAAGUCGACACCCAGCGCGAAACGCGAGGCGGCUCCAGCCCCCCUCUCUGGCGGCCACCCCGGGGGUCUCCGCUGAGGAACGGUGAUAUUGAGGUAAAACUGGCCUGGGGGGGGGAUUUUCAGGGGUGGUUGCCACCGUGCUCACAAAAUAAACUCUGAAAUAAAGACGUUUUCUAAACGUA